GAUUGGAGAAUGGCCAGUGUAAUACCCUUAUUCAGAAAGGGAGGGAGACAAAAAACAGAUGCUGUCGGACCUGCUGAGUUUUUCCAGCAAUUUUUGUUUUUGUCCAGCAGAAGCUUGUGUGCUGAGAACAUACUCUUGGGAAGGAGAUGAGGGUGUUGAUGCCUUUCCUCAUGGAUUC